rnacentral:rRNA from 1 species
AUUGAACGCUGGCGGGAGGCCUAACACAUGCAAGUCGAACGAGUGGCGGACGGGUGAGUAAUGUAUGGGAAAGUGCCCGAUGGAGGGGGAUAACUACUGGAAACGGUAGCUAAUACCGCAUACCAUCGGAUGUGCCCAGAUGGGAUUAGCUAGUAGGUGGGGUAAAGGCUCACCAAGGCGACGAUCCCUAGCUGGUCUGAGAGGACGACCAGCCACACUGGGACUGAGACACGGUCCAGACUCCUACGGGAGGCAGCAGUGGGGAAUAUUGCACAAUGGGCGCAAGCCUGAUGCAGCCAUGCCGCGUGUAUGAAGAAGGCCUUCGGGUUGUAAAGUACUUUCAGCGGGGAGGCGUUACCCGCAGAAGAAGCACCGGCUAACUCCGUGCCAGCAGCCGCGGUAAUUC